AGGAGCACUGCUCGGCCCGAGGGCGCGCGGGGGCCGUUAUGCUUCGCCUGGGAGGACCAGUACGGUACCACAGGGACCUGCGGCGACCGUCGCAGCGCCGCAUCUCGCUCGCGCCUCCUCCUCGUCGAGACGCUGCCUACCCCAAUCGUGCCCCUUUCUGCUGUCGCAGCGCCGCGUCCCCAUCGAACCUCCUGGCCACAGCGGACGGAGGCUGAUCAAAUCAUGGGAAACGGAAGGGGAGAAGCAAAAUCGGACGGAUCGAGAUCAAGCGAAUCCGUCCCCGGCGCAGUUUGGAGAGACGGGAGGGGAGAGGGAGGAGGCGACAGAGGGGGGGAUGGAGCGGUGGGGGGAGGACGAAGGGUGAGCGAACUUGUGCUAUUCGUAGCGUAGGCGACAUAUAAUAUUGCUGGGCGCGCGCGCACCUGCCUUCCUCUCCUCUUCCACUGCGUGCUCCAAGCUCCUCGGCGCUCCGAAGGCAGCAGCAUUGUGCGGAUCAAGAACGGCUGGGCUGCUGGGGCCCGGAGUGGUCGUCGCGGGUCACGCCAGCGAGGUGCUCGUCGAAAUGCGCCAACGGGCUCCCCCGCCCGCCGCUCGCUGGCCGUUGGCCCCUGCGUUCUCCUGCCGUGCAGCAGCACGGAAGCCCGCCUUGAGCCGAGCCAGAUAUCUCAGGGCCCAUGACAUCGAAACAUGUUUGCCCGAAUGGCGUAUGCGGUUUUCUGAAAUAUUUUGCUGCUUAGUUGCUUGAAGUGUCUCUCUACUAUCCUCCCUAGGUUACAAGUACUUGUCGUUUUUUGACAUACAUGAAGUCAGAUUUAAUAUUUGGUAUUGAAAUAUUAAAUCAUAUAGGUGGAUUUGUCUCAGAAAAGUACUUCCAUAAGAUUACAACACAACUUAGUGGUCAAAUUCACAUUUUGGAGACCGUGUUAAUAUCCACAAAGAUGGUAGUAUAUUAUGUUUUCUUAAAAGUCCGGUUCUAGGAUAAUUUUGCACAAGUAUGUGUAGUUAUAAGAAAUUAAUUCUACUGUUUAUUAACAUACACAAUCACCAUCCCUUCCAAAAGAGAAAAGAAAAAUGCACUCACUAUUUAGUAUUUACAUUAUGAAGCUACCAGUUACUUUGAAGAAUUUGCUGAUCUUGGACUUGGAGUUUGUGCACGAAUAUACCAGGUGCGCUGCUGUGUCUUCCUGAGAGCUUAUACAAUGUUUUGCUUCUUUUUCAUGUUUCCUGUACACUCUAUCUUUUCUUUUCAUUUACAAUUUCAAUCCUUCUUCUGUUCCUUUUGCCUGUAGUCUUCACAAUGGAAUCCAUGCCUGCAGUUACAUUUGCAAGAAUUUUCUAUAUGAUGUUGUUCUCAGAGAAAUAUAAAUGUCACUUCUCAAGAUUUAUUGUUUGCUACUGACCUUGAUUAACCCGGUUUCUGUACCACAGAAAAUCAUGUCGUUUGCGGUAAACAUGCUCGUUAUCUUGCUACCUGCAGAUAGUCUUCCUACUUUCUGCUGCUUCUCCCUCAACCAUAUCUAUCAUAAAUUCAGAAGCAGAAUCAGCUAUGGCUUCUAUACUUUGACCAUAUUUAUUCUUCACAUAGAGUUUUUUUUUAAUCAAGGAUGCAAUCAGAAUGUAUCAGUCAGCGAGUUCGGAGAGUACAUAUCCAAAUUUAUAACCAAUUAGAGAUCACCUAACGUAUAUUGUCAAGUACAGGAGCUGUGCUUGCCCUUUUUCUUUCCAAAAAACUAGUGUAGCCAGUACGGGAAAAAGAGAGAAAUUCACAUCACCUGAAUGAUACUGGGGUUUUUGCUGCAGUUCAAGUAGAUGAAGUCUUCCACCACUGCCAUUGCCUCUACAUUUGUUCCCUUUGCUAUUGGCAUUUUCAUAUUAGGUUUGCAUCGUUUCUUCCAAUCCUGGUUUACAAAUAGUACAAAGUUUCACAUUUCUUUUCAUCUCAUACCUUUCAAAGGUCAAGUUUGAUUAAUACCUUUAAGGUGGAUCCUUCGACUUGAGCACCAGCACAAUACAUCCAAUCUUUAUAUACAACAAUGGAGCUAAUGGAUUGUUUCCUGAUCCUCCAGCUUUUUGUAGGUGCCCUUAUCUCAAUCUUGGAUUCAACUGACGUGUCUAGUUCCUGUUGACAAGUUUUCUCUUUACAUAUAGUGUUCCUAGAUGCUAUUAUGUGCAUUUGUAACCACAAAACUGACCUGUAUACUCAAGUCUCUGCAACCAAGGUAAGCUUUGCCCUGGUAUAUAGCUAGAGAUUUGACGUGCUUGCUCCUGUAAAAUGUUUGGGUGCUUCUCGAUGCACAAGAGAACUGUGACAGUAAAACAAAGUAGAAAUACCAUUAUUGUUAUACGUUUGAUUUGUUGAGGGAAUCAUCUAGAUCAUAGUAAGCUGUUGAGUACCUUGAGAACAUUGUUAUGUGUUUGUACGAUGAUUUGGUCACUGCAAAUAUCAAACUUCUGCACAGGCUCUCUUAUCUGAAUCACCUGAACACACUCAAGCUUGCGAUGUGCCAUUUUCCAUACCUGCAAAUGAGCCUGUUAUUCAACAUUCUGCAAUUGCUUUUCAGUUGUGGUUGAACACCGCGGUUGCAUUUGUUACCCGAAUAGAUUUGUCAGCUGAUCCACUCAAGAGGUUUUCCCCAGUUUCUGAUACUGCAAAACAAGUCACUGCCUUCUUGUGCUCUUUUACCUCCCUGAUGAUUACUGCCCUUUGGCCUUUUAUGUCCCAUGCCUGUACAGAACAUCUUAGUAUUAGAUUUUUUUACUCAUAUAAAUACUAAAGUCACUUUCAAAGUAGCUUUUGUCACGCAACAAAUUGUGAGCUAAUUUUGUAGAUUUACGGGUAACUGGAAACUAUGUUGAUGAUUUGAAUUCUGACAUAUGGAAUAUACCAUUACCCUGAUGGUGCCAUUAGAAUAACCAGCAAAAAGCUGUCCUCUGAAGAAUGCUAUAGCAGUUGCUGCACCAUUGCCAGGUUGACCAAUUUCCAGGAUUUGUGUAUGUACACAUGAUACACGCUGCACUGACAAUAUCAGAUGAUUACAUCUUAUGUUUAAGAAACAUGUUUCACAAAGGACAAGCUAGGAAAAUGAUUUUAUUAUAUCUUUCGGAGUUAACAAUGCCAAUAGUAAAUAUCCUAAAGAAUUUCUGAUUAGAUUAUAAUUUUUUUUUCCGAACACGUAGGAGAACUGUGUGUCAUUAUAUUAAGGACAUAAUAAGGACCAUGUAGAACUGAUAUAAUCUUAGCUCCAAAUAUUGUAAGCAGAUCUAAGUUAAGGUCUACGCUUGCUAUUACUUAGAAGGCAAAAUUAGGUGGAUACCAUCGCAAAAGUGCUCAUAUUGGAAAAUACAACCGUCUGUGAGGAUGACAUAUGGGCCUAGGGUCCACAUGUCAUCCUCACACUGAUGGUAUUUUUCAACUUUUGUGAUUUUUGCGAUGGUACCCAUCAAAUUGCCCCUAGAAAAAAGGAGGAAAGAAAAAAAAAGGAGCUAAAUUCCAACGGUACUCACUAGCUUGUUGGGAAGAAAAUAAUCUGUAACUUGAAGUAACUCCUCAGCCAUCCAUGUGAAUGAUGACAGCCUCCUAAGAGAUUCUCGGGAACCCUCUGACAAGCUCAUCAACAUUUGUUUUCCUGCAGUUAGAAAAAUGUAACUGUGUAAACAAAAUGCUUCAAUUAAUCCUUUCACUUUGGCUUGAAUGUUUUCAUUCAAAAGUAUUUAGGAUGUGCAAGAUACCACUUGAAUUUUACUUCAUGCCAAACCAUUCAACUGUAACUGGAUAAUAGUGAAAUACGAGUACUAUGUACCUUUUCCAGAGGUGUAGUUAUAGAGACACAUGCAUGCUAGAACCCUUUCAUCAAGCUCAAAUCCUGGAUGCAGGUGACUUGCUAUGUCAUGUAACAAGAUCUCACAAGCAUAAUAUCUAACGUCAUUUUCACCAAGGGCAGCCAGCUCGCUUCCGAGCCAUGCAGCGCAUACGAGGCAAUCAUGAUUGAUAAACCGUGACAAACAUACUGGUUUGUGGGACAAAUAGAAACAUUUUGGGGCGUCAUUUUGCAAAAAUUCCUUUAUGAUUCUUUAACAUGCUGGUUUGUGGGACAAAUAGAAACAGUUUGGAGUGACAAGUGCUUAUUCAGAACGGGGGUAUCUGGGAUAUAGUGUAUAUACCAUCAUAUCCAACUGCAGGAG